AUAUCACUAAGCGGAGGAAAAGAAAUUAACGAAGAUUGCCUCAGUGGCGGCGAGCGAAGUGGCAAGAGCUCAAUUCGAAUCUGCGGCCCCCCGGUCGCUGAAUUGUAAUCUGAAGGGGUGGACAAGAGGGGAAGUUGAGGCAUAAGUCGCUUGGAACAGCGCGCCAAAGAGGGUGACAGCCCCGUAUUUGGCCUCGAUUGAACCGAAUGUACGCUUUCAAAGAGUCGGGUUGUUUGGGAUUGCAGCCCUAAAUGGGAGAUAAACUUCUUCUAAGGCUAAAAUAUUGAUGGGAGACCGAUAGCGCACAAGUA
rnacentral:rRNA from 1 species